GACGAACGCUGGCGGCGUGCCUAAUACAUGCAAGUUGAGCGAUGAAGCUUGGUGCUUGCUCCAAUUUGAAGAGCAGCGAACGGGUGAGUAACGCGUGGGUAAUCUGCCUUUGAGCGGGGGACAACAUUUGGAAACGAAUGCUAAUACCGCAUAACAACUUUAAACAUAAGUUUUAAGAUUGAAAGAUGCAAUUGCUUCCCUCAAUGAAGAUCCCGCGUUGUCUUAGCUAGUUGGUGAGGUAAAGGCUCACCCAGGCGAUGAUACAUAACCGACCUGGGAGGGUGGUCGGCCACAAUUGGACUUAGACAAGGCCCAAACCUCUUCGGGGGGGAGCAGUAGGGGAACUUCGGGAAUGGGCGGAAGGCUGGCCGGGCAACGGCGCGGUGAGGAAGGAGGUUUUCGGAUCGUAAAAACCUGUUGGUAGGGAAGAAAGAUGGGGGUAAUGAAAAGCUCAUGAAGUGACGGUAACUACUCAGAAAGCGACGGCUAACUACGUG
rnacentral:rRNA from 1 species